ACCCUACAGCCCACCCCACCCCAAUCCCUCCAGCCGCCGCUACCCCACCCAUGUUUCUCCUCCACCCCUCUCCUCCCUCCUCGUCCGCGCGCGCACAUCACACAGCUCUCGCGUGCUCGCCUCCCGGACCAGCUACCGCCGCGCCGCUGGGGCUCGUCCGCCGCGGGUUUCCACGGGGAAGGAGCAGCGACGGGAGUAGGCCCCAGGCGGCGCACACUUCAUGGGAAGGCAAGGAACUAGGGGGUGAUGGGGUCGGAUCUAGUGGUGCUAGGUCGGAGCUCAAUCCCUCGCCUCCCGAACCAGCCGUCGACGCACCGCUGGGGCUUGGGUUUCCAUGGGGAAUCACUACAACAACAGCACUCCUCCCUCCUUCAUCCUCAUCAUCAGAGCCGCCGCACCUCUCCUUCCUCCUCGCUCGCACCCCUGCCGCGGCGCGCAUCCCUCCCCUUUCGAUCUAAUUUCAUUCUUGUUUCACAUGUUGGUUUGGUUGGCAAGAUACGUUGCGGCACCGACUGCAGUAGCCAUGGUUGGUGUUGGUGAUGUCUGUAGGUAUUUUCAUCCUCGCCAGUCACACAUUUCCUAGGUUAUGGGAUUGGAUCUCCCUUUUCUAAGACUCUACAGAAUGAUGUUGUGCACAUCCAAAUCCAAGCAAUGUAAGUGACCUAGCAUUUCACUGGUGGUAUGGUACAUCUCAUACAAUUUCUGAAUUCCAAUACCGUUCCUGUGUAGCUGGAUACUCCAUGGGGCAAAGUUGAAGCUUUGUAUCACUUCUCUCCAUGUUUAUUAAUGUUUCUUCAUGUUUGGCAGUGAUAUGGGUUUCCAUGUACUUGAUAUAUGCAUUCCUUAUCUUUAUGUGUUCCAUCUAUGUAUAUAUGUUUCUGCCCAUAAAUGUGUUUAUGAGCUGACUCCAGUUUUUACCGCUUUUCUAUGGCAAUUUGGAAAGGACCCUUCCAUGGUGCUCAGCCACAGUCCGAUUUCGAGGGAGAAUAGGAGACCCCGACGAAAACGAGCGUCCUAGCGGCGAACCCAAGGAUGCUAGUGAUUAUGGCAGGUCCAUGCUCCAGUUCUUCUAUUGGGCUACUCCCCCAAUGGUGAAAAUCCCCUACAGAAUGGUGCUGGAUGUCCUUUUAGAAUCUUUGGGCCUGCCAGUGGCUGAUUAUCGAACCAAAGCAUGCGAGGGUGGUUUGAAGUUACGAAGAACCCCAUUUUCAUUCAGAUAUGCACGCCUUUUUGUCAUGCAAAGUCUUUGCAUUUAGGUUUAUAUUAUUGAUUUGGGUUUAGUUGUUUAGAUCAAAACUGUAAUCUUGCAUGUAGAUUGGACAGAUUAAUUCUCACUUUGAGGACUCCGCUUUGUUCAUCAGAAUGUUUUUUCAAGUGCAUCAAGAACUUUGCUAUGAUGUUUUUCAAGUGCCUUUCCAUGUCUUCUUAUUUUGCUAAUUCAGAGUCGAGUAGAGAUAUUAUACUCCACCAUUUCUUCUGUUGUAAAUAAUUAUCCCUCCUACUUCAUUGUCUUAGUUUUUGUAUAGAUAACACUCACCAAUUCUUUUGUUCUGUCAGGUGUUCGCUCAAUUCAUGUGCUUGGGAUUUGUUUUGAUUGAUGGACCUCAAACCUGGUGCAAUAAUGCAUGAACUUGCCAAAAGGUUCAAAUCGGUAACUCGUGCCAAGGAUUGAGUCAUGGCUUUUGUAUGCGUCCCUAUCACUAUCACUCAUGCUUUUGUUUUCGGUACAGAUUUGUAAACGGACACUCUGUUUAUCAGGGUCGUUUCAGUUUUCAAGUGUCAUCAGUGGUACAUGGAUGGAUGGUGUCGUCAUUGCUCCGCUGCCCCAUGUUUUGGUUGUUUUGGUCCACGGCCGAGGCAAGAAAACCAAAAUCUGCACCAUGCCGAUAUGCUUCAUGACAAAACCACUUGCUUUCAUAUGUAUUGGACUACUGCAUCAUCGUCUUCGUCAAUGGAGGACGAAAUCAGUAGUAUCACCAGUCGGCCAGCGAGGAAGGCUGCUUGGAUCUGCCGCCGUGCCCACCUGCAACUUCCUAGGGCUAUUCGGCCACUUAGAGAACUUCUGGUGUCCAUAAGCAAUCUUAGUUGCUCACUAUGAUAAUUAGAAUGUAUGCAGUUUCCCUCUUUGCGUGUGUGCUUCUGUGUCUUUCCUGCUAUAUUCUCAGUCUAUGGAAUAGUCAUAUUAGGCAUGUAGUUUAUUUUAAUUUCUGUAUAAAAGCUUGGUACCAACAUACAAAUAUGAUUAUUUUUUCA